UGCAAAACAAAGAAAAAAUAUUUUAUUGUAACUUAAAAUUCAUUCCUAGACAAUGGAUAAUGCACACACUGGACGACAUUAGUAAACACAGUGAAGACGCACCUGGACAAUUACCAACAUUGAUGGACAGGGGGAUGUCCUUAAGAGUUAAGAAAACACUACUGGAUUUCCAGAGCAUGAUACUGGCAAAAAGGGAAACUUUGACACAAAAACGCCUAGUUUAAUUUCUUUUGAAUGUUAUUUUACUUACUAUCCUUGACAGUGACCAAAGAAUGAGGUACAGAAAACUUUUCAGAAGUUUUGGAGCAGAGUAUGGAGCAGAAGUUCAAGGCGCUUUGGAGCCCCAUUAUUGCGUGAUUGAGUAGGAUUCACUCAGCUAUGAAGUUCCCCAUACUCCAGGGUUACUGCAUAGAAAAGCACUAUUUACCUACUUCACUGAGGUGUUGUGGGGAUUCGUGUUUAUAAAGUGCUUCAGGCGCCUUUGAAGAAAGGCAACAUAGAAAUAUAAAAUAACCUUACAUAUUUCGUAAGAAAUGAAAAGACAAUUUUGGCACAAUGGGAAAAGUGCCUCCUAUUUAAAGAACCAAACUUGGCUAUUUAUAAAAAAAAACAAACAAAAAAAAACAACCCUCAUCUCAAAGGGUUAUUGUGUUUUUUAUUUUUUAAGAGGAAAAAAUGUUUCUCUAUAGCCAAUAUUAUGAGUCGUUCUCAACUCAGGCUGUGCUAUCAGAUUUGAAGAGUUCAUUAAAAAUAUAGAUGCUUAGGGAGUUCCCACUGUGUCACUGCGAGUAAAGGAUCCAGCAUUGUCUCUGAGGUGGCUCAGGCCACUGCUGAGGGGCAGGUUUGAUCCCUGGCCUGGCACAGCAGGCUAAGGAACAGGCGUUGCCGCGGCUGUGGUGUAGGUCGGUCUCUGGCCCAGGAAAUUUCAUAUGCCACAGCAACAACAACAAUACACACACACACACACACACACACGCGCGUGUGCACACACACACGUAUAUAUACAAACAUAUACAUAUAUAUAUGCAUAUAUACAUAUAUAUGUGUUUGUAUAUAUAUAUGCUUAGGCAAUUCCCUGAUAGUCUGGUGAUUAGGACUUGGCACUUUGGCACUUUCAUAGCUGUGGCCUGGGUUCAAUGGGCACACUGCAGCCUAUAUAAGCUUAGACCACAGCCUAGACCUACAUAAUUAAAAAUCUCUACUAGUGGUACUCAAGCAACUACUUUUUUAAAAGGAUCUAUAGAAGAUUCUGGUGCAUACCAAAGCUAAAAAAACCAUUUCUUUAGAAAAAUGUCAAUUCAUUAAAUGUUGAUUUUCUUCCUCGAUGAGG
rnacentral:lncRNA from 1 species